AUAUAUAUAUAUAUAUAUAUAUGAGGAAUACAUAAUCAAAUACGAAGAUCAAUUGUUGAUAAUCAUCAUUCAUACCUAUAAAUGGUACUGGCACUGGAUACAAUUGACUAUUGAGGCCUUCCAGAAAACCAAAUGGGAUGACGGGCUGAAUAUAAAGAGCAACAAGAGGCGCAACCUGAUUGUCAGUAUUCAAGUUUUGACAAAGAGCAUAUUGAGGGAGUAAGGACUUAGUGGGUGCUUCAUGCUGUUCAACAAUUGUAUAAUAGCUAGGUUACGUUGUAAAAAAUAUACAACUCUAUUAUUUAAUGUAUUUUGCGUAGUCUAAUGUUUGUAAUCUUAUUGUAGAACAUAUAUAUUUAUGUAAUCGGUUUUAUUAGGGUAAAAAUUACAAAAUUCAUUGAGGUUUGGAAA